UACGGGGGGGGUAAGCGUUGUUCGGAAUUACUGGGCGUAAAGGGCUCGUAGGCGGCCAACUAAGUCAGACGUGAAAUCCCUCAGCUUAACUGGGGAACUGCGUCCGAUACUGAUUGGCUUGAAUCCGGAAGAGGGAUGCGGAAUUCCAGGUGUAGCGGUGAAAUGCGUAGAUAUCUGGAGGAACACCGGUGGCGAAGGCGGCAUCCUGGGUCGGUAUUGACGCUGAGGAGCGAAAGCCAGGGGAGCAAACGGG
rnacentral:rRNA from 1 species